rnacentral:misc_RNA from 1 species
AAGUCGUAACAAGGUUUCCGUAGGUGAACCUGCGGAAGGAUCAUUAUCGUAGGGCUUCGGCCCUGUCGAGAUAGAACCCUUGCCUUUUUGAGUACCUUUCGUUUCCUCGGCAGGCCUCGCCUAGGCAACUGGGAAACCACAAAACAUCUUGCAGUACCUGUAACAGUCUGAACAAACAAACAAAAAAUUAAAA